UACGAGGGGGGCGAGCGUUGUUCGGAAUUAUUGGGCGUAAAGGGUGCGUAGGCGGUUUGGUAAGUCUUAUGUGAAAUCUACAGGCUCAACUUGUAGUCUGCAUGAGAAACUGCCGGGCUUGAGUGUGGGAGAGGUGAGUGGAAUUCCUGGUGUAGCGGUGAAAUGCGUAGAUAUCAGGAGGAACACCUGUGGCGAAAGCGGCUCACUGGACCAUAACUGACGCUGAUGCACGAAAGCGAGGGGAGCAAACAGG
rnacentral:rRNA from 1 species